GGCGUGGUGCAAUGGUUUGAGCCAUUGGACUAAGACUCUGGAAGCCAGGGUUCAAAUCCCUGCUCAGCCA